rnacentral:rRNA from 1 species
GAUGAACGCUGGCGGCGUGCUUAACACAUGCAAGUCGAACGAAGAGCGAUGGAAGCUUGCUUCUAUCAAUUUUAGUGGCGAACGGGUGAGUAACGCGUAAUCAACCUGCCCUUUAGAGGGGGACAACAGUUGGAAACGAUUGCUAAUACCGCAUACGAUCUAAUCGCGGCAUCGAGGAUAGAUGCAAGGUGGCCUCUAUAUGUAAGCUAUCACUGGAGGUGGGGAUUGCGUCUGAUUAGGUAGUUGGAGGGGUAACGGCCCACCAAGGGGAUGAUCAGUAGCCGGGCUGGAAGGAAUGACGGCCACAAUUGGAAUGAGACAACGCCCCGGCCCCUACGGGAGGCAGCAAGGGGGAAUCUUCCGCAAUGGACGAAAAGCUGACGGAACAACGCCGGGGGGGGUAUGACGGCCUUCGGGUUGUAAAACUCUGUUAGUCGGGACAAAAGGCCUUCUUGCGAAUAGUGAGAAGGAUUGACGGUACCGAAAGAGAAAGCCACGGCUAACUACGUG